rnacentral:rRNA from 1 species
UACGUAGGGUGCAAGCGUUGUCCGGAAUUAUUGGGCGUAAAGAGCUCGUAGGCGGUCUGUCGCGUCUGCUGUGAAAUCAGGCUCAACCCUGGACCUGCAGUGGUACGGCAGACUAGAGUGCGGUAGGGAGAUCGGAAUUCCUGGUGUAGCGGUGAAAUGCGGCAGAAUAUCAGGAGGAACACCGGUGGCGAAGGCGGAUCUCUGGCCGUACUGACGCUGAGAGCGAAGCAUGGAGCGACAGAUUGAGAU